UACGUAGGGGGCGAGCGUUGUCCGAAGUUACUGGGCGUAAAGCGCGCGUAGGCGGCUUCUUAAGUCUGAGGUGAAAGGUUCAACGCUUAACGUGAACAGUGCCUUGGAUACUGGGGAGCUUGAGUGUGGCAGAGGAUAGUGGAAUUCCUGGUGUAGCGGUGAAAUGCGUAGAUAUCAGGAGGAACACCCAUGGCGAAGGCAGCUAUCUGGGCUAACACUGACGCUGAGGUGCGAAAGCGUGGGGAGCGAACGGG
rnacentral:rRNA from 1 species